rnacentral:lncRNA from 1 species
UUUUGUAGUAGAUCUUCAAUUGCUUGGUAUUGUUUAUUAUUGUAUUUUGCCUAAAGCAUGAACGAUAUUCAAUUUUAUUGUUCACAAAUUGUUUGUACUCAUUUGGCUGUAAUAAGUAUUAGCUGACUUUAUUUACCCCAUAAUUUCUCUUAAUUGUAGAGAAACAAUAGAUUAGCUUUUGUACUCGAAGGUGGUCAUUACUCACCUUAUGAUUAGAGCACACAUACCAAACUAUGCAACUUUUCUUUGCUGUUUUGGUUCGUUAUGUUAUAAUUUGAGAAGCAUGGUCUGAAAGAAAUCUAGCAAUCUUGUCUAGUUUUUACUUGUUGGGAUUCUGCUCAUGUGGAGUUGUGAUCUAUGCAAUGUUAGGUAGAAGGGGUGAAGAAAUUUUAACGACUUUCAACCUUUUUUCCCUAAAACGGCGAGUUAGUACUCUCAAAAAUUUCUUAGAUGGGAUGUGUGGUUGACAUUUCUCUUUGUCACUAUCAUCUUCUAUAAUCAAGUGUUUCUUUUUAUAACUUGCUUUGCUAUUAAUGAGGAUGUGGUAGUUUUCAAGCAAUAUUUCCAUUUCUAAUGAAACAAAAAGUUGCCUUACAUUGCAGUUUGUCUUUAGUGAAUCAUUGUGGGUGAUUUACAGUCAGCCUGCCGGAUAGCACGAUUUUUAAAACGAUUUGUGUACAAAAGAUGUUGCAACUUUACUGUCAAUAGUAUGCAGGGC